rnacentral:rRNA from 1 species
UCGGGAAUUUUGGGCAAUGGGCGAAAGCCUGACCCAGCAACGCCGCGUGAAGGAUGAAGUAUUUCGGUAUGUAAACUUCGUAAGAAUAGGAAGAAUAAAUGACGGUACUAUUUGUAAGGUCCGGCUAACUACGUGCCAGCAGCCGCGGUAAUACGUAGGGACCAAGCGUUGUUCGGAUUUACUGGGCGUAAAGGGCGCGUAGGCGGUGUGUCAAGUCAGUUGUGAAAUCCCCGGGCUUAACCUGGGAACUGCAUUUGUGACUGCCAGACUAGAGUGUAGCAGAGGGGGGUAGAAUUCCACGUGUAGCAGUGAAAUGCGUAGAUAUGUGGAGGAAUACCGAUGGCGAAGGCAGCCCCCUGGGCUAACACUGACGCUCAUGCACGAAAGCGUGGGGAGCAAACAGGAUUAGAUACCCCAGUAGUCCCUGAGCGGGCUGGCAAGGCGCAU